rnacentral:rRNA from 1 species
GAAGUGAGAAUGCCGGUAUGAGUAGCGAAAGACAGGUGAGAAUCCUGUCCACCGAAUGACUAAGGUUUCCUGGGGAAGGCUCGUCCGCCCAGGGUUAGUCGGGACCUAAGCCGAGGCCGACAGGCGUAGGCGAUGGAUAACAGGUUGAUAUUCCUGUACCCGUUGUUUUUGUUUGAGCAAUGGAGGGACGCAGGAGGCUAAGGAAUGCAGACGAUCGGAAAUGUCUGUCCAAGCAGUAAGUCUGAAGAGGAGUCAAAUGCUUCUUUUCUUAAGGACAAGCUGUGAUGGGGAGGGAAAUAAUAGUACCGAAGUUCCUGAUGUCACACUGCCGAGAAAAGCUUCUAGUGAGAAAACAGCGGCCCGUACCGCAAACCGACACAGGUAGUCGAGGAGAGAAUCCUAAGGUGAGCGAGAGAACUCUCGUUAAGGAACUCGGCAAAAUGACCCCGUAACUUCGGGAGAAGGGGUGCUGAUCAUACGAUCAGCCGCAGUGAAUAGGCCCAAGCGACUGUUUAUCAAAAACACAGGUCUCUGCAAAAUCGUAAGAUGAAGUAUAGGGGCUGACGCCUGCCCGGUGCUGGAAGGUUAAGAGGAGUGCUUAGCGCAAGCGAAGGUACGAAU